GGGGGUGUGGCUCAGUUGGUAGAGUAUUUGCCUAGCACACAGAAAGCCCUGGGUUUGAUCCCCUGUACCACAU
rnacentral:tRNA from 1 species